rnacentral:lncRNA from 1 species
GCCCGUUGAAGCCGUGGGGCUGGCAUCAGCUGCGCGUAGUGACUGCAGCAGGAGUUUGGCCAGUCAAGAUGCAGUUAAAUAUCUCCGUGCUUGCGAAAGUGCUGAAGCUGGGGGUUUUCUCUGCCUAUGAGAGCUGUCUCCAGAUGGGGAUAGUCUCAGGGUCAUCCCAGCAGGAAGGGGGAUGGGAUCUUUCAGGUAUGAGGUGUGAAUAGCACAGUUCUUUCUCCCCUUCGUGCUGGUCAUACUCUGCUACCCCCUAAUCUCGAUGCAGGACUUUUAUGAUUCCCAUACAACCAUCUCAUAUCAAAGCCAAGUGGAUAAAACCCCCUCUACAUCAACAUCCCAAGGAAACAUUCAGGCUAGAGUCCAACAAUACAAACGCCAGCCAGCAAGCUGCUGUUUUCUUAUUAACACUUGUUAUCAGCGGGCUGAGCAUGCUUGGGGAGCAGAGCACAGUGACAGUGCCUUGUCACACUGGCAAGACAGGAUCAUGUUCAGGACUGCGUAAGGUGAAGAGCACACAAGGAAAACUGGCUUGGAUUUUUAGAGAUGUUAAGGCUGCCUUAGUUUGCUCUUCUGAAGGCUGGCUUAUACUGUUCACUUCCACUAUACUAGAAGGAAGCCCGAGUGGAGUGUCUUGUAAACAUCUCCCUGCUCCCCACACAGCGGACUUUUUCUAACCAGCUAAAAUUAGUUUCUUCCUAGGUAAGCUGGUGGCCCCAUUCACUUGGCCUAAAGCAAUGUUUUUCACAAUGUUUAACACACGAUUAGCAAGAUUAACCUGGCAGAGGUUAAAAAUUCCUCUCAGGAGACACACAGGAUGGUGCUUUUCUGUUGUAGUUGGCCUGGGAGGCAGCUAGGCUGGGCCAAGCUGUCAGUGGUAACAGCUUGUGCCCUCCAAGUUCCACCUGCAUUGCUGAAUCCUCACUGGUUUCUCCUGCCUGAUUGUGCUCAAGGCUUUUUGCAUGGCUCUUUGUGCUGAGAUGUGAGAGCUUUUUGUGGCCAAUUGUAGGACAAUUUGUGUUUCUCUCAGGACAAACUAUGAAAAGCCUUUGGAAGGCUACCAGGAUGGGAGCAAUUUGGACUGCUGAGAGGAAGCAGUGGAUAGCAUCUAAGCUUUACUCACACCCGUGAUAAAAAUAUGUCCGGACUUGGGUGUAGAGCUGUCUGUGUAGAUGAUGGGGACAUCUCACGCUAAAUCCUGGGUCAGAAGGAGUCCAGGCUGUGUGCAUGCUUUCAUUGCACA